rnacentral:rRNA from 2 species
UUUGAUCCUGGCUCAGGAUGAACGCUGGCGGCGUGCCUAAUACAUGCAAGUCGAACGAGUUCUCGUUGAUGAUCGGUGCUUGCACCGAGAUUCAACAUGGAACGAGUGGCGGACGGGUGAGUAACACGUGGGUAACCUGCCCUUAAGUGGGGGAUAACAUUUGGAAACAGAUGCUAAUACCGCAUAGAUCCAAGAACCGCAUGGUUCUUGGCUGAAAGAUGGCGUAAGCUAUCGCUUUUGGAUGGACCCGCGGCGUAUUAGCUAGUUGGUGAGGUAAUGGCUCACCAAGGCGAUGAUACGUAGCCGAACUGAGAGGUUGAUCGGCCACAUUGGGACUGAGACACGGCCCAAACUCCUACGGGAGGCAGCAGUAGGGAAUCUUCCACAAUGGACGCAAGUCUGAUGGAGCAACGCCGCGUGAGUGAAGAAGGCUUUCGGGUCGUAAAACUCUGUUGUUGGAGAAGAAUGGUCGGCAGAGUAACUGUUGUCGGCGUGACGGUAUCCAACCAGAAAGCCACGGCUAACUACGUGCCAGCAGCCGCGGUAAUACGUAGGUGGCAAGCGUUAUCCGGAUUUAUUGGGCGUAAAGCGAGCGCAGGCGGUUUUUUAAGUCUGAUGUGAAAGC